rnacentral:lncRNA from 1 species
AUUUUUAGGUAAUUCCUAAAACUUCAAGAGUCCAGUGGCCAGGGAAUUCCCAGCCCGCUUUGGUCCGUGGCUUCUCCUUCAUGGUGGUGGCAGUCAGAGAGUCCUCCGCAUUUGCAGUGGAGGAGAUGUGCCGGGUCCCUGGGUCGCACCAGAGGCUGGAACGUCACACCUCACUCAGGAGGUGGUUUCUGGGCUCAAGGGAAAAUAGCCAACCCCACAGUCUUACAGAGCAGAAGGCUUUGAGAUGAGGGAGGGUGCACGAUGAGCCAUCCCUUUUACUCCCCUCCCCCACCUUUCCGCUCCCCGGUGUGAACCUUGCUUUCUCUCCCAUCAGUGGUUUCAAACUUUGGAGUGUAAUCACUCGGAGGGCUUGUUAAAUCACAGAUUAGCUCCACCCCCACAGUUUCUGAGUCAGUAGGAGUUCAGGGCUGAGGUUUGAGAUGUUGCAUUUUUAACAGAUUCCCAGGUGGUGUUGCUGCUGCUGGCCCAAGGACUCCACUACUCUAGAUCUCAGGUGGUGAUAAGGUGGACUUCUCUGUUCUUUUCCCUACAGGGCAGCUGAGUGUCAGUGGACACACUGAGAAAAACUCACUGGGUGGGGGGGCUAUCCCUGAAUGCUAUCUGCUGAAUGUUCACACAGGAAAGUACAAUUUGCCUUUUUGGUCUCUUAUUCCCACCUCGUCCACUUUUUCUGCAAACAGUUUUCUCCGGGUUGUUGCAGAAACCUGCUUUGCAUAUAAAGAUCUGUUUGUAUCCACCCUUUGUUACCCAUCCGUCACCACAGGCUUGAGACUCGUUGGAGGAGAUCACCUCUCCCAGGAGGCAGGAAGCUGGAUGAGGUCCAGGGCGUGGACCCAGCUUGAGCUCUGGGUGACAGCUUGGUGUGGCAAGAAGAAAGGACCUGACGAUGCACACAUCACUGAAAGAGGGUGCAGGGAAAGGACCCAACUGCUUGAAGUGACUGCUGAAACUCGGAGCUCCCCAGGGAAGUAAUCUGCGGCUACUUCAGGCCGUUCUUGCCUGUUCCUCACCACCCACCACCAGCGUCCCUUGGCUACGGAGUCUCUGCAAGAUGAAGGGAGAAGCGCCUGGAAUCCCACCCUUGACAAAGUCCCUGAAGCGGCUUGGAAGGGAACCCCAAAGGGCUGGUUGUGGCGAUCCUUUGAGGCCGUUCUGCCGAAGUGAGACAGCCCUAUUGGAGCAAACGGCGGGUGCGGCGGGAGCGUGGUGGGGCCCUUGUGGGGCUCUAUCGUGUCCCCUAUCCUGGCUCCCCUGGCCUCAGCUGUCAGGUUGGGGUCGGGGGUGCAUUUAGUCAGGUGUCUACCACCUCCUGCCCUUUGGCCUAC